rnacentral:sRNA from 1 species
CUGGUAGCUCUGGCAGAUGCCUCCUUCCAUGGUCCUGAGCAUGUGGUAGAACAGGUUCAAGAGCUUGAUCCAGGCAGCCCUUUUCCCCCUGAGGGAUUAGAUCUUGUCAUUCAGUGGUGUCGAAUGCUCAAAUGCAGUGUCAAGACCUUUCUGGUUCGGAUCAGAGACUACCCACGGUACCUGUUUGAGAUCCGUGACUGGCGGCUAAUGGGUCGACUUGUGGGCACCGAGCAGAGUGGUCAGCCUUGCUCCCGUCGGCGUCAGAUCUUGCACUUGGGGCUUCCGUGGGGUAACGUGGCAGUGGAGAGGAACAUGCCCCCACUCAAAUUCUACCAUGACUUCCACUGUGAGUAGAGAUGGGGCAGUUGGUUUGGCUGAGGGACAUUUGUGAUGGGUGAAAUGGGAGGUGAGCUGAGACCCUUCUGGAGUGAAGGAGGAAGAGAGGGGUAAUGUUGUGAACAAGUUAUAGCCUUUGUUCCUCUACCCCAGCGGAAAUAUUCCAGUACACAGUGGUAUGGGGCCCAUGCUGGGAUCCAGCCUGGACGCUGAUUGGCC